UACGGGGGGGGCAAGCGUUGUUCGGAAUUACUGGGCGUAAAGGGCUCGUAGGCGGCCAACUAAGUCGGAUGUGAAAUCCCCAAGCUUAACUUGGGAACUGCAUCCGAUACUGGAUGGCUUGAAUCCGGGAGAGGGAUGCAGAAUUCCAGGUGUAGCGGUGAAAUGCGUAGAUAUCAGGAGGAACACCGGUGGCGAAGGCGGGUCUCUGGGCCGUAACUGACGCUGAGGAGCGAAAGCGUGGGGAGCGAACAGG
rnacentral:rRNA from 1 species